CUCGAAGGCUUCGACUGGAACCAUCUGGUUAAAAAGAGAUUUGCUUCUGUUGGACUUCGGUGGAAAACCUGGGCUACCAUGUCGGUGAAGGGGAUCCAGUCUGCCAGGCACACGCCUGCUCUGGAGAAAACAAAAAAAACCAGUUAUUUUGAAAUUCCACCUUCUUCACCCUGGGCUUCUCCUUUCUGAAGCUGCUGCAGAUGUGGCAGGGUGUGCAUUAACAUGCUGCUGACCUGCUGCCUUCCUGGGAGUCUUGGAGGAGGAAAUGCAUCAAUCUGCUGUGACCUGGAUCCUGUGCUCUGGAGUUCAGGUGUGCUGCUCGUGUUGAUUUUCUGCCGUGUCUCAUUUUCCACAAUGCUGUGCCCUGUGCCCUCUUCUGUAUCUCACAUUUAUACAAAAUACCAGCAUAUAUAUAUAUGUGUUCCAUUUUUCUGAUGUGUGGUGGGCCCCUGGCCUACGUAAAGCUGGCAUGGUAGA